GAUGAACGCUGGCGGCGUGCCUAAUACAUGCAAGUCGAACGAGGUGCUUUUGUAGCAAUACGAGAGUAUCCUAGUGGCGAACGGGUGAGUAACGCGUUGGUGACCUACCCCAAAGUGUGGGAUAACAGUCCGAAAGGAUUGCUAAUACCGCAUGUGGUCUUCGGAUUUAGAAACUGAUGACUAAAGGAGCAAUUCGCUUUGGGAGGGACCUGCGUCCCAUCAGCUAGUUGGUGAGGUAAUGGCUCACCAAGGCUACGACGGGUAGGGGACCUGAGAGGGUGACCCCCCCACAAUGGAACUGAAACACGGUCCAUACACCUACGGGUGGCAGCAGUAGGGAAUAUUGCACAAUGGGCGAAAGCCUGAUGCAGCAACGCCGCGUGUGCGAUGAAGGCCUUC
rnacentral:rRNA from 1 species